GAUGAACGCUGGCGGCGUGCCUAAUACAUGCAAGUCGAGCGAACAGACGAGGAGCUUGCUCCUCUGACGUUAGCGGCGGACGGGUGAGUAACACGUGGAUAACCUACCUAUAAGACUGGGAUAACUUCGGGAAACCGGAGCUAAUACCGGAUAAUAUAUUGAACCGCAUGGUUCAAUAGUGAAAGACGGUUUUGCUGUCACUUAUAGAUGGAUCCGCGCCGCAUUAGCUAGUUGGUAAGGUAACGGCUUACCAAGGCAACGAUGCGUAGCCGACCUGAGAGGGUGAUCGGCCACACUGGAACUGUGACACGGUCCAGACUCCUACGGGCGGCAGCAGUAGGGAAUCUUCCGCAAUGGGCGAAAGCCUGACGGAGCAACGCCGCGUGAGUGAUGAAGGUCUUCGGAUCGUAAAACUCUGUUAUUAGGGAAGAACAAAUGUGUAAGUAACUAUGCACGUCUUGACGGUACCUAAUCAGAAAGCCACGGCUAACUACGUG
rnacentral:rRNA from 1 species